rnacentral:rRNA from 1 species
AUCGAACGCUGGCGGCAGGCUUAACACAUGCAAGUCGAACGAGUGGCGGACGGGUGAGUAAUGCUUGGGAAUCUAGCUUAUGGAGGGGGAUAACUACGGGAAACUGUAGCUAAUACCGCGUACCAUAGGAUGAGCCCAUGUGGGAUUAGGUAGUUGGUGGGGUAAAGGCUAACCAAGCCGACGAUCUCUAGCUGGUCUGAGAGGAUGAGCGGCCACACUGGGACGGAGAGACGGCCCAUACUCCUACGGGAGGCAGCAGUGGGGAAUAUUGCGCAAUGGGGGCAACCUGACGCAGCCAUGCGGCGUGAAUGAACAAGGCCUUCGGGUUGUAAAGUUCUUUAGGUAGCGAGGCGUUAACUACAGAGAAAGCACCGGCUAACUACGUGCCAGCCGCCGCGGUAAUAC